AGCGAACGCUGGCGGCAGGCUUAACACAUGCAAGUCGAACGGAUCCUUCGGGAUCAGUGGCAGACGGGUGAGUAACACGUGGGAACGUGCCUUUUGGUUCGGAACAACUCAGGGAAACUUGAGCUAAUACCGGAUGUGCCCUUCGGGGGAAAGACUUAUCGCCAUUAGAGCGGCCCGCGUCUGAUUAGCUAGUUGGUGAGGUAAUGGCUCACCAAGGCGACGAUCAGAGCUGGUCUGAGAGGAUGACCAGCCUCAUUGGGACUGAGACACGGCCCAAACUCCUACGGGAGGCAGCAGUGGGGAAUAUUGGACAAUGGGCGCAAGCCUGAUCCAGCCAUGCCGCGUGAGUGAUGAAGGCC
rnacentral:rRNA from 1 species